GAUGAACGCUGGCGGCGUGCCUAAUACAUGCGAGGCGAGCGAACGGACGAGAAGCGUGCUUCUCUGAUGUUAGCGGCGGACGGGUGAGUAACACGGGGAUAACCUACCUAUAAGACGGGGAGAACGUCGGGAAACCGGAGCUAAUACCGGAUAAGAUUUUGAACCGCAUGGUUCAAAAGUGAAAGACGGUCUUGCUGGCACGUAUAGAUGGAUCCGCGCUGCAUUAGCUAGUUGGUAAGGUAACGGCUUACCAAGGCAACGAUGCAUAGCCGACCUGCGAGGGUGAUGCUCCCCAGUGGCCCUCCCCACCCGUCCCCCCUCCUACGGUCUGCCUCGUUCGUGCCUCUUCCGCAAUGGGCGCCCGCCUGACGGCGCACCGCCGCGUGAGUGAUGAAGCUCUUCUGCUCGUACAACUCUGUUAUUAGGGAACAACCUCUUUGUAAGUAACUGUGCACAUCUUGACGGUACCUAAUCAGAAAGCCACGGCUAACUACGUG
rnacentral:rRNA from 1 species